rnacentral:rRNA from 1 species
CGGACGGGUGAGUAACAUGUGGAUAACCUACCUAUAAGACUGGGAUAACUUCGGGAAACCGGAGCUAAUACCGGAUAAUAUAUUGAACCGCAUGGUUCAAUAGUGAAAGACGGUUUUGCUGUCACUUAUAGAUGGAUCCGCGCCGCAUUAGCUAGUUGGUAAGGUAACGGCUUACCAAGGCAACGAUGCGUAGCCGACCUGAGAGGGUGAUCGGCCACACUGGAACUGAGACACGGUCCAG